rnacentral:lncRNA from 1 species
UUAAAACCAACAGACACACAGGAGUAUCUCAUUUCUCUCAGCAGGAUUUCUUUCUAUCAGUAUGUUGUUGUUUCUUUGUCGUCCACAGAUUCAACCCAUUACGCAAACUUGAUUCUACCGGCUUUUUCAACAUCAGUCCCAUCAACCUUCACACCAACAACACAGCACGCAAGCUCUCAGUCUGAUCAGCAGCAGACAACAGCAACUACAGAUGUGCUGCUGUAUGUGAUCCUGAUUCUUGCCAUCAUCGUCAUCAUCUUGGGACUGGUACUGACCAUAAUCUGCAUUCAGAGGAAUGCCAAACUUGACUGUUGGAAGACCAGAGGGAACUCAGAUGACACAAACAUUGAGAUUGUCCCUUAUGAGAACAUUCCUCCAGUCUCUACAUUUGAAGACUCCAUCUACCAGAGCCUCGAUCCAGCCAUCAGGAAUCAGGACCAAACCUACUCUACACUCAAACACACACAACACACAUGAAACUGUUUGGAUUCAGGUCUGGAUUCUGUUUCUGUUCCUCAAAGGUCCAGUUUGUACGGUGAAAUAUGAAAAUGUGUUUCUCACUUUGCUGGUGUGUUACUUCUUUUCCAUGUUUUUUGUGUGAUGAUAAAUUCUUGAUUUGUUUGCUUUUUGUCUAUUUGAAUGUGUUUUUUUUAAUUUGAGCUCUCAGGGCCACUGUACAUUUGGAGUAAAUUGACUUUCUUUUCACAUGCUGCCAUUGUGAUGUAUUAACUAUGAUAUCGAUUUUAUAAUAAUAAUAAUAAGAAAUAUUAGUUUUUUAUAGUUUAAUAUUAUUAAUAAACAGCAUUUCAGUCAAAUAUAUAGUUACAUGUGUCAACCAUAUUCCAUAUUACUGUUCACUCUAAAUGUAUUAGCAUGUAGUCAGCUAUAGGUAACACUUCCAGCUGGCAGACAGUGGGUGCAAAUAUUUGGUAAAAUAUUGAAUACAAACUACAUAAGAACUAGUUUGUGUGAUUCAACUUGUUUUAAUGUAAUGAUGUAUAAAUCUCCACUUACAGACCCUUACAUAUAAUAAGGUUAAGUUUUAACCUUACAAACAACAGAUCUCCAUUACAUUUUCUGUGGAUAUUCAUGAUCGUGAGCUGAUGCUGCUGAGCAUCGGGUGUGGUUAUACAUGUACAUAUUUAUAUGUAAUACCCAUAUGUAUAUUUGUUGUUGGUAAAGCACUUUGGACCUUUGUGUUAAAAAGGUGCUAUAUAAAUAAAGCUUUACUUACUUACUUUCAUGUAUCUGGGUUAAUGGGUUAUUUUUCCUGCCAUUAACCAUCAAUUGAUGGUUUCUUGCUGUUCAUGAUGAAUUAAAUGGCUCACAAAGUGCUCACAAUGUUGUAAUGUUUAAUGAGUGUGUGUAAUUAUUAA